rnacentral:tRNA from 1 species
UCCUUGAUGGUCAUUGGUCAUGAUUUCCGCUUGUCACGCGGGAGACUGGGGUUCGAUUCCCCGUCAGGGAG